UCCAUUAGCGGCAAGAUAAUGGGAUUCAUUGCCCUUGACCAUCAGCCGUUCUCUGUCGUGGAUGAUGUUGGCUUUCGCCGACUGGUUGAGCACCGGUACACACUACCAAGUGUGCUGUUGUUCAGAUGUUGUCCUACCGGAGUUACACAGUCAUAGCUUCACCACAUGCUAUGGAACACCGUUUGGGUCUUUGCGUGUCAAAUAACACUUUCACAAUAACACUAUUUGAUGCGUUAAAUAGCACUUUCACAAUAACACUAUUUGAUAAUAACACUAUUUGACAAUAACAUUAUUUGACAAUAACACUAUUUGAUAAUAACACUAUUUGACAAUAACACUAUUUGACAAUAACACUAUUUGACAAUAACACUAUAUGACAAUAACACUAUUUGACAAUAACACUAUUUGACAAUAACACUAUUUGACAAUAACACUAUUUGAUAAUAACACUAUUUGAUAAUAACACUUUGAUAAUAACACUAUUUGACAAUAACACUAUUUGACAAUAACACUAUUUGACAAUAACACUUUGACAAUAACACUAUUUGAUAAUAACACUAUUUGACAAUAACACUAUUUGAUGCGUUAAAUAAGCUUUUAAUUUGCCAUGUAAAAUAACAGCGUUCUAUUGUAGAAUGUUGUGUGUUCUGAGUUUACAAGCCAAGCACCACCACUACUAUCAGUAGCACUGUCAAAGCUGUACAAGGUUCUGAGUUUACAAGCCAAGCACCACCACUACUAUCAGUAGCACUGACAAAGCUGUACAAGGUUCUGAGUUUACAAGCCAAGCACCACCACUACUAUCAGUAGCACUGACAAAGCUGUACAAGGUUCUGAGUUUACAAGCCAAGCACCACCACUACUAUCAGUAGCACUG